rnacentral:misc_RNA from 1 species
GUUGAAGAACGUAGCGAAAUGCGAUAAGUAAUGUGAAUUGCAGAAUUCAGUGAAUCAUCGAAUCUUUGAACGCACAUUGCGCCCGCCAGUAUUCUGGCGGGCAUGCCUGUUCGAGCGUCAUUUCAACCCUCAAGCCCCCGGGCUUGGUGUUGGGGAUCGGCGUGCCCUCGCGGCGCGCCGUCCCCUAAAUCUAGUGGCGGUCUCGCUGUAGCUUCCUCUGCGUAGUAGCAACACUCGCACUGGAUCGCAGCGCGGCCACGCCGUUAAACCCCCCACUUCUGAAAGUUUGACCUCGGAUCAGGUAGGAAUACCCGCUGAACUUAAGCAUAUCAAUAAGCGGAGGA